GACGAACGCUGGCGGUGUGCUUAACACAUGCAAGUCGAACGGUAAGGCCCUUUCGGGGGUACACGAGUGGCGAACGGGUGAGUAACACGUGAGUAACCUGCCCUCAUCCCUGGGAUAACAGUCGGAAACGGUUGCUAAUACUGGAUAUGAGCUUGCAAGGCAUCUUGUGGGUUGGAAAGAUUUUUUUGGUUGGGGAUGGACUCGCGGCCUAUCAGCUUGUUGGUGAGGUAGUGGCUCACCAAGGCUUCGACGGGUAGCCGGCCUGAGAGGGCGACCGGCCACAUUGGGACUGAGAUACGGCCCCAACUCCUACGGGAGGCAGCAGUGGGGAAUAUUGCACAAUGGACGGAAGUCUGAGGCAGCAACGCCGCGUGCGGGAUGACGGCCUUCGGGUUGUAAACCGCUUUCAAUUGUGACGAAGCUUUUUGUGACGGUAGCAGUAGAAGAAGCACCGGCUAACUACGUG
rnacentral:rRNA from 1 species